ACGGCAGCUGCAGAGGAAGCCAGGCACUGAGCCUGCGGAGCCAGAACCCUGCCCCAGCACUGCAGCAUCACAGCACAAAGAAAACAAACAGCAACUACAUCAAACAGCAACUGAACUUCUUGGGUGAGAGGAAUCACCUACAUGUCUGGGACUGAGUCUUCUGUUAUUGGUCCAGGGGAGGGAGAUAUCUCAUUCAUGAUGUGUCAUUGGUGAGUUCAUAUGCAAGCAACGUCCAGCCUUGAAGAUGACAUCAUAGGGGUUCGCCACUGGUUUCCUGCCCACAAGCUGUCUUUGUUCUCAUUUGAAUUGUGGCUUCAUAUUCAUACAUUCAAUCAUAACUAAUUGUUGCAAUGAGCUACAACCUACCGACAGCUAUCAAACCAACACACUCAUUCCCCUGAUUAUUUUGACACCAAGCAUGACAUGUUUAUCUUGUUCCGUUAUAUUAAUACAUAUAUAUCUGGUUUUA